rnacentral:lncRNA from 10 species
UAGUCCAAAAGGAGGAAUGCUUCCUUGGGAGACACAAUGAUUCCAUCAAACUGGAAGUUAUGACUCCCACCAGGCCACAUUGAGUCCUUAGACUUCUGGAUCAACAGGCAAAGAGGCCAGCACUGUGGCUCACACCUGUAAUCCCAGAACUUUGGGAGGCCGAGGCAGGUGGAUCACUUGAGGUCAGGAGCUUGAGACCAGCCUGACCAACAUGGAGAAACCCCAUCUCUACUAAAAAUACAAAAUUAGCCGGGCAUGGUGGUGCAUGCCUGUAAUCCCAGCUACUCAGGAGGCAAGUCAGGAGAAUUGCUUGAACACAAGAGGCGGAGGUUGUGGUGAGCUGAGAUCGUGCCAUUGCACUCCAGCCUAGGGAACAAAAGCGAAACUCCGUCUCAAAAAAAAAAAAAGAAAAGAAAAGAAAAGAAAAGAAACAACAACAACAACAACAAAACAGGCAAAGAAAGGAGUCACUAUUCUGGCUAGGGUGAUUGUGGCUACUUCUUGGUAAUCACAAUCUCUGCAAUCAAGGUAAGGAGGAGGAUGUCUGGAAUACAAGAGAUCCCUUAGGGUGUCUCUUAUUACUACCAUGUCCUGUGAUUGAAGCCAAUGGAAAACUUUAACAACCCAACUGGGACAGGAAUGCAUGGCCCAGACCCUUCCAGAAUGAAGGUUUAGGUCACCCCACCAAGUAAAGAACCACCAUUGGCUGAGGUGUUUACUGAAAGCAAAUGGAAUAAUAGGUCAUAAAAGAAGAAAGUUAUAAAUAGCAGCUAUGACCAUGUGACCAGUUACAGGUAAGGAAAUGAGGAAUGUCAUUGUUAUGGGUAUUUCUUCAUUAUGUUGUUAUAAAUGUGUGUGUGUGUGUGUGUGUGUGUGUGUGUAUGCAUGUGUGGCAAAUAUUUUUGUUUUCUUCCAUCUCUUAUCCCUUUGUCAUGUAACAGAGGAUGUAUUAACUUUACAUCACAAUAUUUAAAUAUUGCUAACUUUAUAUCAUAGUAUUUAAGUUAUAGGAUGUCAAGGAACAUUCCUCAAGGAUUUUGCAGUCACUUUUGGGGAGAGAGUUUGUGUCAUUUCAGGCAUACACAGGACAGUUGUUUCACAUUAGGUGGAGGUGUGACCUUGUUUUAACAUUAAGUAUAGUUUAAGGAGAUGUUUAUGUAUGCCAAAUUAACAAGUGGUGGACUGCAAUGGUUAGUUUUAUGGGUCAGCUUGGCUAGGUUAUCAUACCCAGUUGCUUGGUCAAACAUUAAUAUAGAUGUUGCUGUGAAAGUGUUUUUUAGACCUGAUUACCAUUUAAAUUAGUAGGUUUUGGCUGGGCAUGGUAGCUCAUGUCUAUAAUCCCAGCACUUUGGGAGGCUGAGGUGGGUGGAUCACUUGAGGCCAGGAGUUAGAUAACAUGGUGAAACCCUUUCUCUGUUAAAAAUACAAAAAUUAGCUGCUUAAUCUGUUAAAUAAAAUACAAAAAUUAGCUGCUCUUUGAAAAAUACAAAAAUUAGCAUGGUGGUGCAUGCCUGUAAUCCCAGCUACUUGGGAGGCUGAGGCAGGAGAAUUGCUUGAACCCGGGAGGCAGAGGUUGCAGUGAGCUGAGAUCGCACCACUGCACUCCAGCCUGGGUGACAGAGCUAGACUGUCUCAAAAAAUAAAAUAAAAUAAAUCAAUACAUUUUGAAUAAAGCAGAUUACUCAUUAUAAUGUGUGUGGGCCUCAUCCAAUCAGUUGAAGGCCUUAAAAGGAAAGACUGAGGUCCCUGGAAGAGAAAGGAAUUCUACCUGUAGACCGCCUUCAGAUGAAAGACUGUAACAUCAACUUCUGACAGAAUUCCCAUGCUGCCAGCCAGCCUUGCAAAGUUUAGACCAGCCAUCCCCACAAUCACAUCAGCUAAUUUCUUAAAGCUUUCUUUUUAUCACUAUCUAUCUAGGGACAUUUUAUUGGUUCUGUGUCUUGGGGAAAACCAUGAGUAAUACAAAUAUAUCUUGGAAAAUAUGAAUCAUUUAAAGGAGAAUUUUUAGGUAAAAUUGUGGUGUAGGUGGUAGCAGAUAUGGCAGGCAUCUGUUUGUAUGUACCACAAGGGCGUGGACUGUCCUGCUCAUGGUUUUCUAUGUCCAGUGCUGAUCAGAAUUUCACGGGAAGACUGAAGACUCUCUGGACCACAGUUAACAUGCUCAGAUAGUUGAUGAGGAAUGUAGAGCUCACAUGGCUAGGAACAGCAGGCCUGGCUUAUUGGUCUGGAGGUAGAAAAACGUCCCUAUGCUAUGAAUAAAGAUAAUAAAAUUAUAGCUAGGUUGGGUGUGGUGGCUCAUGUCUGUAAUCCCAGCAUUUUGGGAGCCAGAGGUGGGCGGAUCACUUGAGCCCAGAAGUUCAAGACCAGCCUGGACAACAUGGUGAAACCUCAUUGCUACUAAAAAUAUAAAAAUUAACCAGGUGGGGUGGCAUGUGCCUGUAGUCCCAGCUACUCAGGAGGCUGAGAUGGGAGGAUCACCUGAGCCUAGGAGGUGCAGGUUGCAGUGAGCUGAGAUCACCCCACUGCACUCCAGCCAGGGUGACAGGGUGAAACUUUGUCUCAAAAAAAUAAAAUAAAAUAAAAUAGAAUAAAAUAAAACAAAAUAAAAUAAAAUCAUAGAUAAUAUUGUAGUCUGCUUGAUACAUGGCAGGUGCCAUUCUAAGUUCUUUGCAUGUAUUAAGUCAUUUGCUGUCACCAGCCAGACCCUAUUAUUCAGCCUAUCUUACAGUAGAGGAGACUGAGCCACAGAGAGGUUGUGUCACUCAGGUAUAAGUGACACAGCUAGGUUUUGCACCAAUGCAUGCUGACUGCAUCAUAAUGCCCUCAACCACCACCCUAUGUCACCAUGUUCCGUGAAAAACAAGGACACUGAAAAUCUGGCAGUGAGGCAGCAGUAGAAAGAGCACUGAGCUGGCAGUCAUGCUCUCUGCAUAGCUCUGUGACCUCUCUUGGCUUCAGUAUGCCACCUCUCAAGCCAGGGACACAAUUGGACUAACUGACCAAGGGCUGACCCAGCUCUGAACUCUGAGAGGCAGGGCUUAGAGCCCAGUGACAUCAUGAUCUGCCAGCUGUAGCCAAGAUGAGAGGCCAACUGUAGUGAAGGUUCCAGCCUCUGACUUCUAAGCUGAGUGACCUUGGGCAGGUUGCAGGUCCAGAGAAGUUACUUGUCCAGGGUCACACAGCUAGUGAGUGGCACAGCAGGGUGAAUGCAACCAGGCCCCAGCAGAUGCUAACGGCCUUCUAACAUAGAGACACCAAGGAGGAAGAAUAAGGGCAAGAAGCCACAAGCUUGGUCCUCAGGAAGCUCAGGGGCUGGGGAAACAGAGAGGAGGAGACCCCAUCCAGCCUGGGAGGAGGUGGGCCAUUGCCUUGGGCCUGAGGGUCAGAAGGUGUUUGCCAGGCAGGGAGGGGGAAGGAUUUGUGUUCUAGCCUGGGGAGGGAGGAACUAGCGGGAACACUGGAAUCACCCUGAGACAUUUGGAAGGGAAAAUGACAUCUGGAAGAUGACAGAAUCAGUUUCGUCCCUGCACGGUCACUCUUUCACUGGCUCAUGGGGUAUUCAAAUGAUAGGAAAAAUUAGAAUGGUUCUUACGUUUGUUCAAAUGCUGUGGCAGCAUCUUAAUCCCAGAGGGCUUUGUGCAGGAAGUCAUCCACCCUCCCCCUGGUACACAGUCAGGAAAGCUUCAUUCCACUCCCCAGCCUCUGACCCAGAGUAAUUCUUCCCAGACCCGUUUUUCCCCAAGAGCUUAUCAAGAGAGAUUCUGUCUCCAACAAAGUCCAUGUAAACAGAGUGAUCCUAGUGGUCAUUAAACCCUAGCCAGGAGCCAGGCCAAGAUCUCAUUUAAUCCAUAAAUAGGGAUACCAUCUUUUUUCUACAGAUGAGGAAAUGUAGGCUCAGAGAGGUUGAGUGACUUGCCCAGGCCACACAGCCAGGAAGUGGUAAAGUGGGCUGUGAACUAGGACUGCCUGACAUGAAAACCCAUGCCCUUGGCUCAGGUUGCCUUCUAAAACUCUAUAAGGAGCACCUUCAGGCAAGUGUGCUCCUGAUUCCUGGGCCAAGGCACUCAUCCUCCUCUUUGACUGAACAUCAAAUAACAUUCCCUCCGCAUAGCCAGGGGGACUAACCGUUGGCUUUAAUUACAAGUCACUCAGAGCUUCACUCCUUUCUAAAGAGCGCCACCACACCCUCCAAACUGCUGAAUGCCAUCACCCCUGCGUGGGCAGACAGGAAGAACGUCUUCUGCAACCCAUGAUCACACACACUGCAUCUUGCUGGGAACAUGCUGGGCAUGCGAGUGAGUGUCCUGUCAGUGACACUGGGCAGCACAAGCCUGACGGUUCCUUGUGGGGAUGUCUGGAUCAGUGCUGCUCAGGGUGUGCCAGCCACGCACUGGGGCCAGUCUGAGAACUGUUUCCAGGAUGCAAUGCACACCCUUGGACAAAUGUGUAGUGGAGUUUGGGAAACCGGAUGUCAGAUUCCAGCCACUGGGGAGUUGGAUUUCACCCUCUGUAGUCACUUUCAAGUCUAAAAUCCCACGAAGAACUGAAGUUGGGCAGGGAAAUUGAAAGUAAAAGUGAGGAAUGGAGAAGUUUCUGUGCCACAUUUGACGUGAAACUGAAAGUGAUCAUGUAUGUGUCCCUCCUGCUCCCAUAUGAUCUGGCACAGCGCCAUUCAGUUUUACAGAAGCUGAAGCUCAGUGCAGUAGCCUGGCUUGCCAGAAUGCACUCUUUCUUAACGGCUCACAUUUCCAUCCACAGCCCAGGUCUCUGCCCUCCCAGUUCAAUCCCUCACCCCAGUCCGUUAUUUUUAAGGCAUAUAAAGGAAACCAGAGACAGAAUCAAGUCAAAGCUGUUUUAUUAUCAUUCACAUUAUUUCAUAGAAAAAGGAAUAUAGCAAACGGUCACGGUCAGGGUUGUACAUAAAAAAUCCAGGUUUGUGG